GGGGAAUAUUGCACAAUGGGCGAAAGCCUGAUGCAGCAACGCCGCGUGAGUGAUGAAGGCCUUCGGGUCGUAAAACUCUGUCCUCAAGGAAGAUAAUGACGGUACUUGAGGAGGAAGCCCCGGCUAACUACGUGCCAGCAGCCGCGGUAAUACGUAGGGGGCUAGCGUUAUCCGGAUUUACUGGGCGUAAAGGGUGCGUAGGUGGUUUCUUAAGUCAGGAGUGAAAGGCUACGGCUCAACCGUAGUAAGCUCUUGAAACUGGGAAACUUGAGUGCAGGAGAGGAAAGUGGAAUUCCUAGUGUAGCGGUGAAAUGCGUAGAUAUUAGGAGGAACACCAGUAGCGAAGGCGGCUUUCUGGACUGUAACUGACACUGAGGCACGAAAGCGUGGGGAGCAAAC
rnacentral:rRNA from 1 species